ensembl:lincRNA Gm29642 predicted gene 29642
ACGUGUCCUGGAAGGAGCGCAGGCUGAGCCAAGGCUUGGGAGCCGAUGCUGCUUGUCCUCCUGCCUGACGAUGAAACUCACCCAUACCGCAGUCUUCAGUUUACUCUGAAGAUGCCCUGGCUCCAACUUCCAAGGCUGGAUUAGAGGUGGGCUGUCACUUCCUCCUGACAUUUGUGUGUGUUCUGAAGAUCCAAACUCCGGUCCUCCUGCUGGUACAGCAAGCUCUUCAAUAGUUGGGCCAUCUCCCAAGACCCAAAUAAGCAAAACAAAAUGAUACUAACAAACAUCCAGUGAUCUGUAAGUCGAUCUGAAGACAUUCAACAUUAUCAUGAGAGCAUAAUUUUUUAAAUGAUUUGUUCAAAGUUUCUACCAAUCUAUCCUGGCAGCAGAGCCACAUGU